GAUGAACGCUAGCUACAGGCUUAACACAUGCAAGUCGAGGGACCGGCGCACGGGUGAGUAACACGUAUCCAACCUGCCCUUUACUCGGGGAUAGCCUUUCGAAAGUAAGAUUACUACCCGUUGUCAAGGAUGGGGAUGCGUUUCAUUAGGUUGUUGGUGAGGUAACGGCUCAACAAGCCUUCGAUGGAUAGGGGUUCUGAGAGGAAGGUCCCCCGCAUUGGAACUGAGACACGGUCCAAACGCCUACGUGAGGCAGCAGUGAGGAAUAUUGGUCAAUGGGCGGUAGCCUGAACCAGCCAAGUAGCGUGAAGGAGGAAGGCUUAUGGGUCGUAAACUUCUUUUAUAUAAGAAUAUGUAUUAUAUGAAUAAGGAUCGGCUAACUCCGUGCCAGCAGCCGCGGUAAUUC
rnacentral:rRNA from 1 species